rnacentral:rRNA from 1 species
GAUGAACGCUGGCGGCGUGCCUAAUACAUGCAAGUCGAGCGAACAGAUGAGGAGCUUGCUCCUCUGACGUUAGCGGCUGACGGGUGAGUAACACGUGGAUAACCUACCUAUAAGACUGGGAUAACUUCGGGAAACCGGAGCUAAUACCGGAUAAUAUAUUGAACCGCAUGGUUCAAUAGUGAAAGACGGUUUUGCUGUCACUUAUAGAUGGAUCCGCGCCGCAUUAGCUAGUUGGUAAGGUAACGGCUUACCAAGGCAACGAUGCGUAGCCGACCUGAGAGGGUGAUCGGCCACACUGGAACUGAGACACGGUCCAGACUCCUACGGGAGGCAGCAGUAGGGAAUCUUCCGCAAUGGGCGAAAGCCUGACGGAGCAACGCCGCGUGAGUGAUGAAGGUCUUCGGAUCGUAAAACUCUGUUAUUAGGGAAGAACAAAUGUGUAAGUAACUAUGCACGUCUUGACGGUACCUAAUCAGAAAGCCACGGCUAACUACGUG